GUCCCGCCUCCGGGUCCUCUGUUCUCGCCUCUAGGAAGUUCGGUCCCAGCAGCACGCACCACUUCGUUCCACUUCAGGGGAAGGCAUAGUGACAGGGACUCAAACGGGCAGUCGCCAGUCUGUGUGCGCCCUCGAGGAAUCCUUCAUGGAAGUCUUAAGUUGUUCCCUUGCUCGCACACACUGGGAUCAGUUUGCCUAGCGCGAUGGCAGAGCGGUAAAAAUAUUCAUCUUGCCCGGCUACAAAUACCACCUUGUCCAGAAAUGCUUCCGUCUGUGAUAUAGUGUGCCCACUCAAAGGACAGCGGGACUUUCUAAAUCUGGAACUCUACAACUGCCUUCUGGGAGCCAAAGACUGUAGUACAAGCUUGGGUGACAUUUGGUAGACUUAGGAGGGAGUCCACGGGAGACUCCACUAUGUACUAGGCACCUUGCCUGUGCAGUCUGCUCUCAGUCAACAUUCUGUAAGAGCCCCGUGGUGAAACAGGAGCCUAGAUUCGAGGACUAUGACCACGUCAAGACAAGACUUAUGCCGAGAAAAGACGUUCUGCCUCUCUGUUGGGGUACCGUUCCAGUCUUCUUUUCCUUUGAAAUGGGGUCGCACUGAAUCACCAGGUUGGCCUUGGGUUUGUAAUCCUCCUGCUGUAGCCUUCUGAGGAACUGAAAAUACAAACCUGCACCCACAGGACCAACCCAUGAGAUCUAAGUUACAGGUGAACAAGGACGGCCAGCCACCCUAAGUAGGACUUGGGACCUCUGGUGGUUUGAAUAGGAGUUGCCAUGGUCAGGGGCUGGAGAGAUUCCUCAGUGGUUAAGAGCACUGGGUUCAAUUCCCAGAACCCACAUGUCAGCUCACCACAGCCUGCAACUCUAUCUCCAGGAAUUCCGACACCUUCAGAAAGAUACAUGUGUAGGCAAAAUGUCAAUGCACAAAUAUAAAUAAAGGUUUAAAAAAAAGAAUUGGC